rnacentral:lncRNA from 1 species
GCACUGAGCGCCGCUGGGCAUCACUGCAGUGCUCACCGGAGACAGAUCGCAGAGUCAGUUUCUAGCUCUGAGCCUUUCCUGCCAACACUAAAACUCUGGCUGCAUCCAGAUAUACCCUGCAAGUACUGAGAGGGCUGUAGGACGUCCACGCAGAGAUCCUCAGAGGUGUCUCAGAGCCAGCAGAGUCUCCGAACUGUUUGAUCACAUUCCAGCUCUUCCCAUACCUCGAUUUCUGUUGCUAUGGAGACUUCCAACGGGACUGAGACCUGGUACAAGAGCCUCCACGCUGUGCUAAAGGCUCUGAACACAACCCUUCACAGUCACUUGCUCUGCCGGCCUGGGCCAGGGCCAGGGUCAGGAACAGGGCCAGACAAUCAAACAGAGGAUCAUCGGGCUAGCCUUCCCGGCCGUAAUGACAACUCCUACAUGUAUAUUCUUUUUGUCAUGUUCCUAUUCGCUGUCACUGUGGGCAGUCUCAUCCUGGGAUAUACCCGUUCACGCAAAGUGGACAAACGUAGUGACCCCUAUCAUGUGUACAUCAAAAACCGUGUGUCUAUGAUCUGAUGUGAGGUGCCUGAGGACAAUGGAAGAUUAUGAUGUCUGAGGAUUGUCUUCUUGGGUCUCCGGAACUCAUCUCGACCCUAUCAAGCCACAGUACCUCUGUCUAUACAAGAUCAACGAGAAAUUGGUAAGAGAGUUAGGUCAUCACUGGGACCAGAGAAGAGGGGCUGAUAGGCCUGGUCUUCUGGAUGAGACAUUUUUCUAGACACAGAUGCGCAUUAUAAACUCAGAGCCCGUGAGCACACAUAUAAAAGUAUGGACAACCAACAAGUAGGAGAGGAAGCUGUGGUGAAGGGAAAUGGAGCAGGAAAAUGCUCUGGAAAUAUAAUCUUUUAAUGUAUGAUCUUUAACAUGAGAGAUCUUGAUAAAACAGAGAAUGCUACUUACUUGUAUCG